CCUUGCCUCGAUCCUCCGCCGCCCCGCUCGCGUUAGGAUCUGCAGGGUUAGUGGUGUGAGAACUAAACAAAGUUCCCAGUGGGUUCGGCAACCGACUUCGCCGACUUACCCACUAGGUCUAUUUAGGCAUUAGUAUUUUAAGAAAGAGAUAAGUAACCAUUACUAAUGCUAAUACUAUGCCUGCAAGAAAACUGUCAGUGGAUAUAUAAUCAAAGCGAUAUUAAAGAUACAUGCAUGCUUUAUCCAUAUUUUACUUUGGCUUUCUUUACCAAAUCUUACCGGUUAACCUUGUUAACCCCAAUAGCUCACAACUCCUAUCCCGUCUACCGGGAGAGGCUUUAAGCACAACCGCCCGAGGGAUCGUCGACGGGGCACUCUCCCCAUGGUGUCUACACUCCGAAGUACACCGCUUGAGGAGGAGCUACCUCUCUCAAGCAAAGUCCUAAUGUGAGUAUCGAUCCAAUUCUCAACUUGGGAAUACAUAGCCACUAGUCACAAUGUCAUUAUUGUUUAAACUAGGUUUAACAAUGUGUAUCUCAAUACCAAUCAAGUCACUGUAGUCAAUAUCACCUUUGUUUACUAUGGUUAUAAUCUUUUUCCUACAUUCACAUGCACAUAGGGUUUUCACAUACAAGUUCUCUUGUUUCUUUAUCAUUCACAUACUCUUUAAGCAGCUAUAUGCAAUUCAACCAAGCACAAUAAUAAGCUACCCUAUAUGCAAGAAUGCAACCAUUUAAAAUGCUCAAGAAAAGGGACAUAGACAUAGGAGGGAAUCCAACGAUUUCAGAAUGCACCCCCUACCUCGAAUGAUCGUAGAAGGGUUGAAGUUCGACUCUCGGGAUUUUUAGAACGCCUCUCCCGCAACCUAUACCCAAAAUAGUGCCAAAUUAGACCCUAUAUACAAGAUCUCAUAUCUAGACUUUUCAUUUCGACGAACGGAGUUGUCCCACGCGUCGGGAAUACCCCUAAUUAGGUUUCUAAGAGGGCAAUUUACCUCGAAAACGAUCGGAGGCAAAAACCCCAAAAUCCAUGCCCUGACAAUGUCAUAAUGAGAUUUCUCCUAGAUUGAUCUCAUUUCUAAUCAAAAGAUAGCUUAGAACCAACUAGGAAGCUUUCUAAUACCAUUAUUAAGCCUUUCCAAACAUCCCUAGGGCACCUACUUUGAACCCUAGCCAUCCACCAUUAGAGCACAUGAAGCUCACAUGGAUUUCAUGGUGUUCAUGGCCCAACAAUGCUUCUAAACAAGAGAGAAGCUCCAAACCUUAAGUUCUAUGGUGGAAAUCCAAACCCUAGAGUUCUAUUUGCAAGAGAACUCACCUUUGACCAAGCUCCUCCAAGAUCCUUCUUGUAGGAGAGCUUCUAGCACCUUCACAACCUCUAAAACCACCUUCUCCUAGCUUCUUCUCCUUCUCCUCCAAGCCCUAGGUCAAGCUCCUUUAGAGAGAGAAAGAGGAAAAUGAGAGGAAGAGUGUUUGGAGGUGUUUGCUAUGAAGGAGGAGGGUUUGGGGGUAUUUAUGACAUGUUACAAUUGCAACUAGGCCCUCCAAAAAUUCUUAUUUGCAACAGACCUCGUAGGUGCUGCCAGACCAAAGUGUACCGGUACACUUUGGGCUGUCACCUGUUACACGAUCGCGUAUGACAAAACCCGAGAGCAGAUUUCUCGGUUCGCAGGAUUUGUACCGGUACACUUUCAGCCAGACACAACACGAGAGCUCUUCUUCUCGGUCUGCGUAUCUGUACCGGUGACAACUCGAUGGUUGUACCGGUACACUUUGCCCAGACCUGGUUUUUGGCUUCGACUCGACUCCACUUCGCGUCGGCCGAUGCUAAAACCCUUCUAACUCUUUCUAAACUCACUUUUAGCCCUUCCAACAUUAUUGGAAUGUUAAAUGGAACUUGUUCCAUCGAUUUCUCUCGGUACUUUAACCUAAUUCGGGUAAAGUUCGAUAUUCACUUUCGGGUUUCAAUAUGUUAUAUUCUCCACCCCUUGAAUUUAGUUUCAUCCGCGAAACUACCUUUUUGAAAUUGAGAUUCAUACCUCAAUCCAGUUCCGCAAAGAGAUGAGGAUGACGCUCUCUCAUCACGUCCUCAAGCUCCUAUGUGUUUUCCUGAUCGUCGUGUUCACACCAAUGAACUUUAACAUACGGAAUUUCUCGAUUCUGUAGUUUCUUCACCUCUCGAUCAACGAUGAAAGCCGGAAACUUUUCAUAGGUCAUAUCCUCUUGAAGCUUGGUCGGCACAUACUCGAGAAUGUGCUCCGGAUCAUGAACAUACUUGCGGAGAUUGGAUACGUGGAACACGUCGUGCACUCCCGCAAGCCUCGGUGGUAAUGCCACUUUGUAAGCCACCGCACCGACCCGCUCCAAGAUCUCAAAUGGUCCGACAAAUCGGGGACUUAGCUUUUCCUGAACACCGAAUCUCUUAACACCGCGCAUCAGCGAUACCUUUAGAAAUACGCGGUCUUCAACCGCGAACUCGAUGUCUUUCCUUCGCUUGUUAGCAUAAUUUUUGUGCCUCGAUUGCGCCGUCGCUAAUCUUUGUCGGGCGAGGCGAACUUUCUCCUCCGCCUCCCGAACAACAUUGGGGCCAAGAGCAACUCUCUCAUCCACAUCGCUCCAAUGAAUCGGCGAGCGACAUUUCUUUCCAUAAAGGGCCUUGAAUGGCGCCAUCAUAAUACUUUCUUGAUAGCUAUUAUUGUAUGCGAAUUCCGCCAUCGGCAAAUGAUCGUGCCAUCCGCCCUUAUAGUCGAGUACACACGCUCGAAGCAUGUCCUCAAGUAUUUGAAUAGUCCUCUCCGAUUGACUGUCACUUUAAGGAUGAAAUGUCGUGCUAAAGUCGAGCCGUGUGCCUAAUGCGUCUUGCAAGCUCUUUCAAAAAUGAGAUGUGAACUGAGGGUCUCGAUCCAAUACAAUAGACAUCGGAACCCCGUGUAGUCUCACAAUCUCGUCGAGAUAAAUUUGAGCUAGCUUGUCUCCCGACCAAGUAGUGUGGAUCGGCAAAAAGUGUGCCGAUUUUGUCAACCGGUCCACCACUACCCAAAUCGCAUCAUGUCCGCCUUGAGAUCUAGGCAAACCCAUCACAAAGUCCAUUGCUAUGUUUUCCCAUUUCCACACGGGUAUCGGUAGACUUUGCAACUUUCCUGCCGGAAAUCGCCGUUCCACUUUGACUUGUUGGCACGUGAGACAUUGUGCCACGAACUCCCCGAUAUCCUUUUUCAUGCCCGGUCACCAAUUAUGUAACUUCAAGUCUUGAUACAUUUUAGUGUCGCCCGGGUGUACGCUAUAGGGAGAUUGAUGCGCUUCUUGCAUAACCGCCCUCCGAAGAUCAUCGUCCUUAGGCACUCACCAACGAUUCCGAAAUCGAAGUGCGCCAUCGGUCCCAAUGCCAAAAUCAUCGGCACUACCGCUCUCAACUUUACCCCGCACCUUUUGGAGAAAUGAAUCGAAAACUUGCAAUUCUGUAAUUCUCUCCAAUAUGGUUGGUUACACUAUCAACGUGGCUAGUGUUGCCGGCACUCCCGGUGCCACAACCUCAAGGCCAAACCGCUGCAUCCUUUUUUGCAAAGCCGGUUGAGGUGUAAUUGCCGUCGCCAAAUUUUUCGCCGACUUUCUACUUAGAGCAUCAGCCACGACAUUCGCCUUUUCGGGGUGGUAGAGAAUCAUGACGUCAUAGUCCUUUAACAGCUCCAACUACUGCCGCUGUCGCAAAUUUAAUUCCUUCUGGGUGAACAAGUAUUUGAGACUCUUAUGAUCGGUGUAGAUCUCACAAUGCUCACCAUACAAGUAAUGCCUCUAUAAUUUUAGCGCGAAGAUAACCGCCGCUAGCUUGAGGUCGUGAGUCUGGUAGUUCUUCUUAUAGCUCUUCAGCUGGCGCGAAGCAUAUGCUAUAACUCGGCCAUUUUGCAUCAAAACACACCCGAGACCGAUAUACGAGGCAUCACUAUACACUACAUAGCUCUCCCCCGGCGUCGGUAAGGCAAGCACCGGGGUCGAUGUCAAUCUUUCCUUUAACUCCUCGAAGCUCCUCUCACAUUCGGCGCUCCAAAUAUACUUUGCCCCUUUGUGUGUAAGGCGCGUUAGUGGAGUAGUUAUCUUGGCAAACCCUUCCAUGAACCGCCGAUAGUAGCCCGCAAGUUCGAGAAAGCUACGGAUCUCCGCUACACUUGUCGGGCGAGGCCAAUCUUUAAUAGCCUCCACUUUCUUUGGGUCCACCGAGAUGCCAUCACUGGAUAUAACGUGACCCAAGAAGAUAAUCUCCGAAAGCCAAAAUUUGCACUUUUUUAAUUUUGCAUAUAGCUUCUAUUUUCGGAGUGUCUCCAACACGAUCCUCAAGUGCUCCUCGUGUUCUUUCUCGGUCCGAGAAUAUACCAAUACGUCGUCAAUGAAGAUCAUGACGCACCGGUCCAAUAGCGGACGAAAGACUCGAUUCAUUAAGUCCAUAAAAGGUGUCGAGGCAUUAGUAAGCUCGAAUGGCAUAACCGUGAACUCAUAAUAGCCAUACCGCGUAUGGUACGCCGUUUUGUGCACAUUCUUGGGCCGUAUCUUCAAUUGAUGAUAACCCGAUUGAAGGUCGAUCUUUGAAUAUACCCUUGACCCUGCAACUGAUCGAAUAAGUCAUCAAUCCUCGACAACGGGUACUUGUUCUUGAUCGUCACCUUGUUCAACUCGCAAUAAUCAACGCAAAGUCGAAGUGUGCCGUCUUUUUUCUUCACAAAUAGCACCGGAGCUCCCCACGGAGGCACGCUCGAUCGUACAAAACUCUACCUGUGCCAUUCUAUACGGAGCCUUCGAAAUUGGCACCGCCCUGGGAAUUAAGUCAAUGACAAACUCGACUUUCCGGUCCGGUGGCAAUCCCGGUAAUUCCGCCGGAAACACAUCCGGAUACUUGCAUACAACCCGAAUAUUCCCCAAAUUCGGGUACUCCUUUUGAGAGUCUACGAUGGUCGCCAAAUAGGCCUUACAACUACCCUUUAUCAUUUUCCUCGCCCUCGCCGUCGAUAUGGUCGCCGCAAAGCGCACACCUUUACACACCCGGUAUACUAACUCUUCUUGAUUAGGCUCAUGGAAUGUGAUCAUCUUACUUUCGCAAUCAAUGACCGCGUAAUACUUGGAGAGCCAAUUGAUCCCCAAGAUUCCAUCAAAGCCCUACAUUUGCUUCAACACUAAUAGGUCGAUCGGCAUGAUCCAAUCACCUAUCUAUAUUGGACACUCUCGACACUCGUCAUAUACACGGAACGAAUGCCCUGGUGUAUUCACUGUCCAAUAGUCCUCGACAUUUGUGACCUCUAUGUCAUGAGCUAGUACAAAUGAUGCUGAUAUGCAUGAAUGCGAUGCACCUGUGUAAAAUAACACUCUAGUUCUAAUGCCUCGGAUCAAGAUAAUACCUGCCACGACAUCGUCGGGAACUGCAACCGGCUGCUCCUCCACCUGAGUGGCAAAAACCCGCCCACUAGGUGCCCGAGAGGCCUCCGGCUGUCGAGGCGCUGAUAAUCGUCCAGCCGACACUGCGGAUGGCAGUCUUGCCAGCUAUCGCGGAGUGUACUGGACUAAAGUUGCUGAAGGCACUGGGGAUGCGCCGCCCGGACACUCCCAACUCAUGUGUCCUGCUUGGCCGCAGUGAUAACACUUCCCUUCGCGCUGGGAGCACUCACUCGGCCUAUGACUCCCGUCGCAAAUGAUACACGGGAAGGUGGUCGUCUGGCUCCUCGACUGACUCCUACCUCUCCGCCACUGUGAUCGCUAAGGUCGCGGGGGUCGCUUGAAGCCCGACUGCCCUGCAGAUCCGCUAGUUGCCCGCUUUUUGGACUUAUCUUUUUCCUCGUCCUUCUCGAAAGCCUCGCGCUCAUCUUGCGCAAUGGCAUUGCCACGCUCCACCCAAAGCGCGCGAUCAAGCACUUCCUCGUAGGUCUUCAACCUAAAGGCAUGAAUGACCUUGAAGAUUCGGGUCGCAACCCGCGCUCGAAUGCCUCCGCUCGGUCCCUAUCGCCAUGGAACAAGCCCGACACGCAGUUGAUCAUGUGCGUGAACUCUUUCUCGUACUCCCGCACCGAUCGGCUACCUUGUCUCAACUUGCGAAAGUCUUCUUUGAUCUUCCGCUUGUCGCUUUCGGGAAAGUACUCCAGCAAGAGCAUCUCCCAAAAUAUCUCCCAAGUGAUGGAAGCGAGAUCCAACGAGCGACCUUUCCUUGCUUGGUUCCACCACAACCUCACCGACCCCUCGAAGCAAUGGGCCGCAAGGUGAACUUUAUCCUUCUCAAGGGUGUAGAUGUCCUUGAACAAUGCCUCCAUCACGGCUAACCAUGACUCCACCGACCAUAGAUCCUUCACGUCACCGUUGAAGGUUGGAGGGUUGAACCGCUUGAAUGUCGUCAACACUGCUAGUGACCGCUCCUGCUUGGCCUCAAGUACAUCGGGUAGAGGAGCCGAUGAACCCGAUGCCAUCUGAGGAAUAGCCGUCACCGCUACUACUGCUGUCGCUGGAGGUGGUGCAACUAGGGCAACAGGUACAGGCGGAUCCCUCGGCACAGAUGCCGCAACCUGUCGCGACACCAACUCGUGAGUUGUCCUAUCUGCCCCCCCUGCUGCCGCAUAGCCCCAGCCAAAGCCGCCACUUGGGCUCGCAGCGCACGAACCUCAUCUGAUCGAGACUGCUCGGGCUGCGCAAGAGGUGGUGCCGGUGUGGAUCGCGUCCUAGGGCGUCCCCUUUGUGCCAUCACGUCCUGAAAUGUAGCACACAUAUUAGUACUCGAUACACGUGACUCUUACACGUUCCAAAUAGCUAUCCAAUUAAGCGAAAGCAAUCGAGCAUAAUUAUUUUCCAACUCUCAGUGUCACGUGGUCGGCCGGCCCACACAAUCCCCUUAAGUAGAAAACAAAUUAAUACUUGAAUUCAUCUCUAAUUCCUUCUAGAGAAGUACUAUCUUUAACCCAAUCAACUAGCUUUCGCGUAUCCAAGUCUACGUUAAACGUUUCCUAAGUCCCUAAGGUCUCCAAGCCUAAGGUCCCUAAGUCCUUCCUAGACUUUUACUUUCACCAUUGCUCUGAUACAAUUAUAUCUGUCACGCCCCGAUCCCUGCCAAUUUGGUUGGGUUCGGCCAUGUCAACAGACGCCGAACGGACAGAACCUCCCCUGUCCGCCCAAGGCUCUAGCAACAAGUAUAAUAAAGCAAUCAACAAAAAGAUUUGCAAUUAUACAAGGCUUGCACGAGGGCAAGCAACAACGGAAGCGAAAGCUCUAAGCUAUAGCAUACAACCAUACAUGAUAUUUGAUUAAAUUUAAACAAAAUACAAGUGAACUAAGCUAUUACAUCCAUUUUGGUUUUAUUCAUAAAGUCUUUUACAUCUUAAUCAUUUACCAAAAUACAUGAUUGUUCUCAACUCAUACAUCUAUAGAUCAACAAAAUAAAAGUUGAUACAUGUAUACAAAACGGGAAUGACUAAAAUGUAAAUGCUCCGGUGGCCUCUAGCUAAGGCGCAAUACCCUUGCCUCGAUCCUCCGCCGCCCCGCUCGCGUUAGGAUCUGCAGGGUUAGUGGUGUGAGAACUAAACAAAGUUCCCAGUGGGUUCGGCAACCGACUUCGCCGACUUACCCACUAGGUCUAUGUAGGCAUUAGUAUUUCAAGAAAGAGAUAAGCAACCAUUAAUAAUGCUAAUACUAUGCCUGCAAGAAAACUGUCAGUGGAUAUAUAAUCAAAGCGAUAUUAAAGAUACAUGCAUGCUUUAUCCAUACUUUACUUUGGCUUUCUUUACCCAAUCUUACCGGUUAACCUUGUUAACCCCAAUAGCUCACAACUCCUAUCCCGUCUACCGGGGGAGGCUUUAAGCACAAUCGCCCGAGGGAUCGUCGACGGGGCACUCUCCCCGUGGUGUCUACACUCUGGAGUACACCACUUAAGGAGAAGCUACUUCUCUCAAGCCAAGUCCUAAUGUGAGUAUUGAUCCAAUUCCCAACUUGGGAAUACAUAGCCUG
rnacentral:lncRNA from 1 species